UGGGGAUUUAGCUCAGUGGUAAGAGCAUCGGUCUUGCAUGCAAGCGGUCCCUGGUUCAAAUCCUGGCAUCUCAA